CCUACGGGCGGCAGCAGUAGGGAAUCUUUCACAAUGGGCGAAAGCCUGAUGGAGCAACGCCGCGUGCAGGAUGAAGGCCUUCGGGUUGUAAACUGCUUUUAUAAGCGAGAAAUAUGAUGGUAACUUAUGAAUAAGGAUCGGCUAACUACGUGCCAGCAGCCGCGGUCAUACGUAGGAUCCGAGCAUUAUCCGGAGUGACUGGGUGUAAAGAGUUGCGUAGGUGGCAUAAUAAGUAGCUAGUGAAAUCUGGUGGCUCAACCAUUCAGACUAUUAGCUAAACUGUUAAGCUCGAGACCGUUAGGGGUAACUGGAAUUUCGAGUGUAGGAGUGAAAUCCGUAGAUAUUAGAAGGAACACCAAUAGCGUAGGCAGGUUGCUGGGACGGUUCUGACACUAAGGCACGAAAGCGUAGGGAGCAAACGGGAUUAGAUACCCGAGUAGUC
rnacentral:rRNA from 1 species